UACAGAGACUGCAAGCGUUAUUCGGAUUCACUGGGCGUAAAGGGUGCGCAGGCGGCCGUGUGUGUGAGGCGUGAAAGCCCGGGGCUUAACCCCGGAAUUGCACCUCAAACUACAUGGCUAGAGCAUUGGAGAGGGUAGCAGAAUUCAUGGUGUAGCAGUGAAAUGCGUAGAUAUCAUGAGGAAGACCAGAGGCGAAGGCGGCUACCUGGACAAUUGCUGACGCUCAGGCACGAAAGCGUGGGGAGCAAAAGGG
rnacentral:rRNA from 1 species